CAGGGAGACAACAAAAUGUUUAAUAUUAUUAUUUUGUCACCUUAGGUCGAUCGGUAUCUCACGUUUUUAAUUUAUUAAGAAUUUCAUUUCCUAAGUUUUUCUAGGUCACACCCAUUAUUUUUCCUGGGCCAUUAGCUCAGGUGGUUAGAGCGCACCCCUGAUAAGGGUGAGGUCCCUGGUUCAAGUCCAGGAUGGCCCAUAUCUCUAUGUUGGGGGUAUAGCUCAGUUGGUAGAGCGCCUGCUUUGCAAGCAGGAUGUCAGCGGUUCGAGUCCGCUUACCUCCACUGAUCACCACCUCUUCCAUAACCGGUAGAAAGGAAAUUUUUUGAGUUGUGAUCAAAUUCUGAAAGAAUCUAGCUUCCUAAUGAAAUCAUUAAGAUGCUGGACUCAUUGAAUUAAUUUCAUUGUUUUCAGAGAACCUUGACAACUGCAUAGAUUAUUUUUAAAGACAAUAAGCAUCUUUAAUGAUGCAGAUUUAUUAUUUGUGCAAAUGCAUUAAUAACAAUUCUAUUAAGCUGAUGCUUCAAUAUUUGAAGUUAUU
rnacentral:tRNA from 1 species